rnacentral:lncRNA from 1 species
UAAAUAUUGCUUGAAUUAAUAAAACAUAUAAGGGCAUAUACAAAAAUUUCAUUGCAGCAUUGUUCAGUGGUUAGCUCUGGCCUCCUUGUGAUGUAGGACUAACCUGGGAACAGACAAGAAUAAGACUUUCAUUUUAUAUUUUGUAUCUUUCUGUGACAUUUGAAUAUCUUACAUAUGUAUGUUUGUAACCUUCAUAAUUUACAAAGUUUAAAAUUGUAAAAGAAUAACAGUAAAGUACAUUUAAAAGGGAACUAAGAGUAAAUGUUACAAGGUACUAG